rnacentral:tRNA from 1 species
GCUCGGAUGGUGGAAUUGGUAGACACGUUGGACUUAAAAUCCAAUGAUCAUCGCGAUCGUGCGGGUUCAAGUCCCGCUCCGAGUA